rnacentral:rRNA from 1 species
AAUCAACGCUGGCGGCGUGCCUCAGACAUGCAAGUCGAACGAUUAAAGCUCUCUUCGGAGAGUGUAUAGAGUGGCGCACGGGUGAGUAACACGUAAGUAAUCUACCUUCGAGUGGGGAAUAACGUCCGGAAACGGACGCUAAUACCGCAUAAUGCAGCGGCAUCGCAAGAUGACAGUUGUUAAAGAUUUAUCGCUUGAAGAGGAGCUUGCGGCAGAUAGCUAGUUGGUAAGGUAAUGGCUUACCAAGGCUACGAUCUGUAACCGGUCUAAGAGGACGGUCGGUCACACUGACACUGAAUAACGGGUCAGACUCCUACGGGAGGCAGCAGUCGGGAAUUUUGGGC